rnacentral:rRNA from 1 species
GUCGAACGAUGAUGCUCCAGCUUGCUGGGGUGGAUUAGUGGCGAACGGGUGAGUAACACGUGAGUAACCUGCCCUUCACUUUGGGAUAAGCCUUGGAAACGGGGUCUAAUACCGGGUAUACACAUUCUGCCGCAUGGUGGUGUGUGGAAAGCUUUUGUGGUGAGGGAUGGACUCGCGGCCUAUCAGCUUGAUGGUGGGGUAGUGGCCUACCAUGGCUUUGACGGGUAGCCGGCCUGAGAGGGUGACCGGCCACACUGGGACUGAGACACGGCCCAGACUCCUACGGGAGGCAGCAGUGGGGAAUAUUGCACAAUGGGCGGAAGCCUGAUGCAGCGACGCCGCGUGGGGGAUGAAGGCUUUCGGGUCGUAAACUCCUUUCAGCAGGGACGAAGCUUUUUGUGACGGUACCUGCAGAAGAAGCACCGGCUAACUACGUGCCAGCAGCCGCGGUAAUACGUAGGGUGCGAGCGUUGUCCGGAAUUAUUGGGCGUAAAGAGCUUGUAGGCGGUUUGUCGCGUCUGCCGUGAAAGCCCAGGGCUUAACCCUGGGUCUGCGGUGGGUACGGGCAGACUAGAGUGUGGUAGGGGAGACUGGAAUUCCUGGUGUAGCGGUGAAAUGCACAGAUAUCAGGAGGAACACCGAUGGCGAAGGCAGGUCUCUGGGCCACUACUGACGCUGAUAAGCGA